rnacentral:rRNA from 1 species
AAAGUCCCGCAAGGGGCGAGUAGAGUGGCAAACGGGUGAGUAACGCGUGGGCGACCUACCUUCGAGUGGGGGAUAACAUUCCGAAAGGAGUGCUAAUACCGCAUGACAUCCCGUGUUUGGAUACACGGACAUCAAAGCUGGGGAUCGCAAGACCUGGCGCUUGGAGAGGGGCCCGCGUCCGAUUAGCUAGUUGGUGGGGUAACGGCCCACCAAGGCUUCGAUCGGUAUCCGGCCUGAGAGGGCGGACGGACACACUGGAACUGAGACACGGUCCAGACUCCUACGGGAGGCAGCAGUAGGGAAUUGUUCGCAAUGGGCGCAAGCCUGACGACGCAACGCCGCGUGGAGGAUGAAGACCUUCGGGUCGUAAACUCCUUUCGACCGAGAUGAAUGCUCGCCGGCCUAAUAUGCCGGCGAAUUGACAGUAUCGAGGGAAGAAGCCCCGGCUAACUCCGUGCCAGCAGCCGCGGUAAUACGGGGGGGGCAAGCGUUGUUCGGAAUUAUUGGGCGUAAAGGGUUCGUAGGUGGCUUGCUAAGUCAGACGUGAAAUCCCUCGGCUCAACCGGGGAACUGCGUCUGAGACUGGUAAGCUUGAGUGCAGGAGAGGAACGCGGAAUUCCAGGUGUAGCGGUGAAAUGCGUAGAUAUCUGGAGGAACACCGGUGGCGAAGGCGGCGUUCUGGACUGUUACUGACACUGAUGAACGAAAGCCAGGGGAGCAAACGGGAUUAGAUACCCCGGUAGUCCUGGCCCUAAACGAUGAAUGCUUGGUGUGGCGGGUAUCGAU